UAUCAGGCAGUAACACAUUAAUUAGUCUUGGUUACUUGAAAUCAAAUCCAUGAUUUUGUUAUGUACUGUUUGCUCACAGUUACGUAUAAGUUAACCUUUCAUGUUAAGGCAAACCUGAGAACACUUGCUUGUGAGAACCAACUGGACUUCUUAGAUAUAUCCAAGUGAAGAUGUACUGUUACCCAUGGUCUUGUUCCUUUACCCAUUGUCUUGUUUGUCCUGCAGGUUAGUGAGCAGCAUCAGGAGGAGGAGCUCAAGCACGACCACCAAGAGGCACCACCGCAGUAGCAGAUGAGUCCGUCGAUGAAGCGGCAACAUCUCCUCUAGAGGGUGACGGUGGUGGCGGCGCCUGUGUGCGGCUUCGACUACAACCUCCUCUCCGGAGCUCCAGGCCUAAGAAAGUUGGAAGUGCGAAGACGUGAAGAAAAGCGCGAAGCCGUGAAGUGCUACUCAGCAAAGAGUUGUCUGUUCUAUUUGACUGUAAUAUUGUAAUAGCUGGUAUACCUAGGUUGUAAUAGUCUACAGAAAUUGUAGUACACUAAUCUAGUGUCAUUUGACGAGUUUCACAUGUUCUCUUGUUUGGAAUAUUUGAUUAUGAAUGUGAUUUGAUUGUGUGUGAGAUGGGAA